AUGGAUCAAAGUGUCAGUGCAACCGUUUCAGCAUCUACCGGUGCAGGAGCAACAACAUCGAGGUCCACCGCCAUAACGCAGCCGACGAUAAUGGGGGCCUUCAGCAAAACAAUACAGUACAAAAGGGACAGUGCCCGUUGGAAAACCUGUACUGAUGCAGUAACUAAAUACUUGGCAAAGGAAAUGGUUUCUUUCUACACUGUAGAAAAAAAAUCAUUUAAGGACAUGGUAAAGGUCCUAGAUGCCCAGUACGAGCUGCCUGGACGGAAAUUUUUCUCACAAACAGCCGUCCCACAAUUAUAUAGUAAAGUUAGAGACGAUGUUCAAGUGCUGCUAUCAGCGGCAGACAGUUAUUCUUUAACAACUGACAUGUGGUCGUCAGUUAACAUGACACCAUAUAUGUCUCUGACUGUCCAUAUUAUUACACCUGACUGGAAACUUGAAUCCAAAUGUCUCCAAACUACGUAUUUUCCAGAGAGUCAUACGGCGGACAAUCUAGCUGCGACGCUUACAGCUGCACUUCAAGAAUGGCAACUUGACGAGAAAAAACUCUCAGCCAUAACCACUGACAACGCUGCCAACAUUCAUGCCGCAAUCAGGUCCCUGCAUUGGCCGUGGCUUAAUUGCUUUGGUCACAAUCUAAACUUGGCUGUCACAAAUGGAUUGCACGACCAGAAGCAAAAAACCGAGCGCACCCUCGGACUAUGCCGUAAUAUUGUCGGGGCCUUUUCACACAGCUGGCAACGUAAGCAUGAACUCCACAAGAAGCAAGUGGACUUGGGUCUCCCAAAACAUAGUCUCGUAACGGACUGCGCAACUCGCUGGGGCUCCAAACUGGCAAUGGUGGAGCGCAUCCUCGAGCAGGCCCAAGCGAUCAGACACGUCCUGUCUGAUGACAGAAGGAGCAGCCUGUCCCUGACCUGGCAGGACAUGGACGUCUUGAAAGCUAUUCACGAAGCACUGAAACCAGUCGGUGACUUCACUGAUAUUUUGUCAGGAGAAAAUUAUGUGACCAGUUCCUGUAUCCUCCCCAUACUACAGCUCUGCAGGGACAAUGUUUUGGCUGCGUCAGAAAAUGACCUUCAGCUAACAAAGUCAAUCAAAACUGGAAUUCUAACAAAGCUGGAGGCCAAGUAUGAAUCCAGUUCAGUGCGCAAAAUAUUGCGAAAAUGCACUUUCCUCGACCCGCGUUACCGCGGAGGAUAUGAGGCAGAUGACAACGCAUUGGCUGAGACAAAGGCUGAAUUACAGGCUGAGAUCGUCAGCUUAGAGGCAGCAGGUCCAGUGGCCAUAAGAGUGGAAGAGGGAGAGGCGCAACUAGAACCCUUACGAAAAAAAAUGACUCUGGGAAGUAUGCUGCAAAAAAAACCUGAUGCAAUGGCAGGUGCCGUCGGCAGCGGCACCGUAGAAGACCGAGUCGGAGCUGAAAUAACAGCUUACUGUUUGGAGCCAGUUACUCAAGGAGACGAGGACCCACUUCUUUGGUGGAAAUCUGCUGCCGGGCGUUUUCCCCAGAUGUCACGAGUGGCACGAAAAUACCUGUGCGUCUGUGCCACAAGCACACCAUCGGAACGGGUUUUCAGCACCGCAGGUAAAGUUGUCGGUCCACAACGUUCCCUGUUAAAGCCCGACAAAGUAAACAUGCUGGUUUUUCUAGCGAAAAAUAUUGAUUAG
ensembl:sense_intronic